UGCCCGCGAGGGAGCCCUAGCACAGGUGCUGCAUGGCCGUCGUCAGCUCGUGCCGUGAGGUGUUGGGUUAAGUCCCGCAACGAGCGCAACCCCGCCGUUAGUUGCCAGCGGUUCGGCCGGGCACUCUAACGGGACUGCCCGCGAAAGCGGGAGGAAGGAGGGGACGACGUCUGGUCAGCAUGGCCCUUACGGCCUGGGCGACACACGUGCUACAAUGCCCACUACAAAGCGAUGCCACCCGGCAACGGGGAGCUAAUCGCAAAAAGGUGGGCCCAGUUCGGAUUGGGGUCUGCAACCCGACCCCGUGAAGCCGGAAUCGCUAGUAAUCGCGGAUCAGCCAUGCCGCGGUGAAUACGUUCCCGGGCCUU
rnacentral:rRNA from 1 species